rnacentral:rRNA from 1 species
UGAAUACGAGACGCUAAGGCGUUGAAGUAGUGUAUGUCAUACUUCCAAGAAAAGCUUGCACAGUCAUAGAUAAAAAACGCCUGUACCAUAACCGACACAGGUGGGUAGGUAGAGUAUACUAAGGGGCGCGAGAUAACUCUCUCUAAGGAACUCGGCAAAAUAACUCCGUAACUUCGGGAGAAGGAGUGCCUUAUUUAUAAGGCUGCAAUAACAAGAUCCAAGCAACUGUUUAUCAAAAACACAGGUCUCCGCUAAGUCGUAAGACGAUGUAUGGGGGCUGACGCCUGCCCAGUGCCAGAAGGUUAAAGAAGUUGGUUAGCAAUAGCGAAGCUGAUAACUGAAGCCCUGGUGAACAGCGGCCGUAACUAUAACGGUCCUAAGGUAGCGAAAUUCCUUGUCGGGUAAGUUCCGACCCGCACGAAAGGCGUAAUGAUUUGGAUACUGUCUCGGAGAGGGGCUCGGUGAAAUAGACUUGUCUGUGAAGAUGCGGACUACCUGCACCAGGACAGAAAGACCCUAUGAAGCUUUACUGUAACUUGAAAUUGAAAUUGGACUUUAUUCGCGCAGUAUAGGUGGGAGGCGUUGAUUGUAAUCUUGCGGGAUUAUUGGAGCCAUCAGUGAGAUACCACCCUUGUAAUGUUAGAUUUCUAACUUUGAAUCAUUAUCUGGUCAAAGAACAGUUUCAGGCGGGCAGUUUGACUGGGGCGGUCGCCUCCUAAACGGUAACGGAGGCGUACAAAGGUUUCCUCUGAACGGUUAGAAAUCGUAUCUAGAGUGUAAAGGCAUAAGGAAGCUUGACUGUGAGACCUACAAGUCGAGCAGGGACGAAAGUCGGUCUUAGUGAUCUGACGGUACUGAGUGGAAAGGCCGUCACUCAACGGAUAAAAGUUACUCUAGGAUAACAGGCUGAUCUCCCCCAAGAGUUCACAUCGACGGGGAGGUUUGGCACCUCGAUGUCGGCUCAUCGCAUCCUGGGGCGGUAGUACGUCCCAAGGGUUGGGCUGUUCGCCCAUGAAAGCGGUACGCGAGCUGGGUUCAGAACGUCGUGAGACAGUUCGGUCCAUAUCCGGUGUAGGCGUUAGAAUAUUGAGAGGAGCCUUCUUUAGUACGAGAGGACCGAGAAGGACAUACCUCUGGUGUACCAGUUAUCGUGCCAACGGUAAACGCUGGGUAGCUAUGUAUGGAGUGGAUAACCGCUGAAAGCAUCUAAGUGGGAAGCCCACCUCAAGAUAAGUA